rnacentral:sRNA from 1 species
UUUUUAGACAAGCAGGUUGGGCAUAGUUGCAGUCAGUGACAUUCACCCUGAUGAUAUUAGUGCUGUUGCGGCAGACUUCCGCUAUGUAUAUACUGCUGCUGGCAAAAACAUUUUCUCCGUUGCUAGGAACAGAAAAAUAGAAAAGACUUUUGAAGGUCAUGCUGCAGAAGUGCAUUUAUUGCUUCCCUUUGGUCAUCAUUUGAUAUCAGUAGAUGUGGAUGGAUUUCUUAUAGUUUGGGAUCUUGG